rnacentral:tRNA from 1 species
GCCCACGUAGCCCAACUGGCAGAGGCAUCGGACUAAGGAUCCGACAAGCGGAGGUUCGACUCCUCCCGUGGGUA